CACUUGCAAAAAGCAGGCGAGUGGCAGACAGGAUUAGAACCCAGGUCCUCUGAUUCCCUGGGUAUCGAUCCGUGGGUGGAAAUUCUUCUGGCUGGCCUCCUAUUUGAACAGAAGAUGCCUUAUUGAUCCCUUGGCCCAGAAAUCACGUUGGUUCAUGGGACAGCCCGUUUCAGGUCCUCCCUAGAGAACAAAAAGCCACAGGCUCAAAUCUCAUUCCCACAGCAAUCUCCCAAGCCUUGAGCUAAACCCCAGGGCUUAGACCCCAGAGAUUUCAGGGGUAGUCCAGUUGCCUUUAGCAUUUAAAUUAAGUGACAAGCCUUGGGCUUGAGUCCAGGUUAUUGUUGAUACUCAUACCAGUUUGGGGCAAGAUUGGCCAUCACCUGGAAAGGUUGUCUGGGUUCAGCUAGGCACUUAGCCUACAUUGGUGGUGUGAUUGAAACUGCUACAUUAUAGGUAGGCACAUCUUUCUGCUUCCUUGCUGGCCCAGGACAAAACACCAGAAACAAAAAAAACAAAACCCAACGACUUGCUCUGUGGGAGGAAUCUCUACCUUGGGACUCCAGGAAACCAGGCAAGGGUGACACAAGGUAAGAAUUUCAUUUUCACCUCAGUCCUCCGCCAGGGCCGGAUGCACCCGUGGGCAGCAGUGAAUCUGAAGAAGACAUGGAGAAUUCUGCAGGCACUGCCAUUCAUUCAAUCGAUGAUAUUGACUGAGAGUCUGUCGUAUGCAGAACACUACACUAAGCACUUGGAGAUGUUCAAAUUCAACUGAAGUCUCUCUCGCUUUGUCUUUGGGACUUUUGCAUCCUGUCGGUUAAAUGCUCGGCUCUAAUGGUCCUUCAAAGAAGCAAAGUUCCCAGCCAGGAUGAUUCCACAGUUCAGUAACAGCAUGUGGAAGGGGUGAGAGUGAGGUAGCAUUUCCUGCUAAAGAGGUGUCAGAGUUUUUGGUUCCACAAACAUAGACUGUACCUGCUCUCUACCACCAGGACCUCAUCAGGUUUUCCCUGAAUACUGGGCAAAAGAGUGUGGAUGGUUCAGUGUAACCCAUCCUCAUGGGAAAAAUCAAAUUAAGCACGUCUUGUCAACAACAGGAUAUUCUUUCCCUCCUCCUCCCAUCCCAAACUGAAAGAUAAGGGCAGCUCCAUAUUGAUUUCAGUUGCUGAAGGGGUAGCAGCAUCUUUCAAGAGCAUCCCUGGCAUCUGAGCAGCCUCUUCAUGAGUAUGCUGUUUAUUCCUUUUUUUUGCAAGGGGCUAAGAGAAGCCAUCUCUUCAGGUGCAAGGCAUGGAAAGGGCCAUUUUUCCAGCCACGAGCACUGUCAGCUGCAUUGUCUCUGAGCAUGUGCAGCCACAUGAAGCAGCAGCAUCAGCCUGGCAAUCAUAAAGGGAAAUCAAUAAGUGCAGUUUGCUUUUUCGAAUUCAACCAUUCAGGAGCUACAUUCCUGGGGCAGAGCAAAGCACCUCAGAAAUAAGCCUUUGCACCAUCGGCCCUCCUGUGGCAUAGAAAUAUUUCAGGUAAAAACAUUAACUUCCGUAAUUCCGACACUUCCUUGCAGGGUGGCCACUUAUGAGACUUGUCCUUCAGAAUGUUUAUCACCUUCAGCUAGAAAGUUCCCAGAGAUAACGGGGCUCACCACGGAAAGGGAUGAAAUUGGCGGUAUUGUCAUUGGCAUUUUGCUUCCUGAAAGACCGCAGGCCCUUCCUUCCCUGCAUCAGGACACGUGGCACUUCUGAAAGGGAUUAUCAUUCUCUACUACUUAAAAAUGCAUGAGGGUGAAAGGAAGUGACUUUCGUUUUCAAUUGGGUUGGGAAUUGCUUUACUGAACUGUGAGUGGAUAAAAUAUUCUGAAGGAAAAUCUCCAUCCUGCCUGAAGUCAAGUCUGCGAACCUCUAAUACGGGAGAUAAUCCCAUUUUCUUUAACCUCAUUUAAAAAAACCCCAAAACCCAAGAAAGCCAGAAUGCCUUUUUAUUGUAAACAUAAUCACAGAUUUAAAUUUAAGUGAAUGUUUGUCAAUUGAACAACACGCUCCCUCUCUAAUAUACAACUACUGGUCAUUAAAUUUAAAAAAAAUCACCAUUGCAGUAAGUAUAGACUGUCAUUUUCCUAAACUUUUUGGGAGGGGCAAAUAAAGGAAUGACAUGAAUCAAUCAUUUUGAAAAAUUCAUAAUGUGACUAUGGCUGUUUGAAAGACAAUUCCUUAGCUCUACUUACUGCCUCUGUUCUUUAGUGAACUGCUAGGGCAAUGGAAACUUAGGUCUCACAUAUCCUAUUAUCUAAAUCAAGACAUCACUGUCAUCACCGUCAUCCAAUAGGAUUUAUUCAGCACCUAUAUGCCCAUGACAUAGUAUACUUCAGAGCACAGUUCAUGAAUCUAAUUUGGGCUUCAGGGAGAGUAGCAUGUGACCAUCUGAGGGCCGUGCUCAGUCCUGUCGAUCGAUUCGGACUACAGUGAUCUGAGAAAGUGAUGCAUGAAUAAAAUUAAAAGGCCAUGCACCAGAUUUGAUUCAAUCAAGAAGCCCUCUUGAAUUCUUCCCAUUAUAUUUUUCGCUUGCUACUUUGAUCCCUUGAACGGUUAUCCGUUUGUUGAGCAUUUUGAUUUCAACCCUGAAAAAACUGUUAACGUAUUUUAAAAAUGGACAUAAUUGGGAUUAUGAUCCACUAGUUUUCCAUCUGAAUUAUUUUUUUAGCUGAUGAGCACUUUUAAAUAUGAUUUAUCUGUUGCAAAUACAAGACUGAUUUGCAAAUGAGCAAAAGAGGGGGAUUAUUAUCAUUAAAAACAUUCAUCAAGCACCCACAGAGUGCAUAGCGUUUAUGAUGUGACAUAUUUACAGAUUGGUUUGGGGAUUACAUUUGGGGAGUAAAAUCAGUCUAAAAUUUGGGAUUGAAUUUUUUUUGGUAAUUAAGUGGCAUCAAAAGCAAUGAUAAACCCAAGGGUUGCCAAGAAAGACUCGCCACAAUUUAUUGCCAGGUGGGUUGCUGACCACUGAAAGAGGGAACUGAGGGAAAAUAAAUAUAAGAUUUGGGGUGGCAGUCGUCACCUCCAUCUAGCCCUAAAAUUCUUGAUAGCUUGGGCAGGAAACAUGCUCAAAGUUGACAGCAUGUCAAACCUCUUUGGCUAUCAGGCCCCCAUUUCGUUAGGCUUUGUUUCUCCCUAUAAUUAAAUUUAAAAAAUGUAAAAAGCUCCCCUCCCCCCUCCCUGGAGUCUCAUCUUAUUCCAAAGUAAUCUAAAUCUCUUAAAUUAGCAUGAACGAUGAUCACAGUAGCAAAUUCCAACCACAAGUUCAUGAAUGUUCAGUACUUGGUCCCCACUCCC